ACGAACGCUGGCGGCGUGCUUAACACAUGCAAGUCGAACGAUGAAGAAAAGAAUUGAAGCUUCGGCAGAAAUUCAUUUCGGAUUAGUGGCAGACGGGUGAGUAACGCGUGAGCAACCUACCUCUUACAAAGGGAUAGCCUCGGGAAACCGGGAUUAAUACCAUAUAACAUUGCGACGAAGCAUUUCGAUGCAAUCAAAGCUACGGCGGUAAGAGAUGGGCUCGCGUCCCAUUAACCAGAUGGUGAGGUAACGGCUCACCAUAGUAACGAUGGGUAACCGGCCUGGGAGGGUGAACGGUCACACUGGAACUGAGACACGGUCCAGACUCCUACGGGAGGCAGCAGUGGGGAAUAUUGCACAAUGGAGGGAACUCUGAUGCAGCGACGCCGCGUGAGUGAUGAAGGAAUUCGUUUCGUAAAACUCUGUUCUAUGGGAAGAAAAGGACUGUACCAUAGGAGAAAGCUCCGGCUAAAUACGUG
rnacentral:rRNA from 1 species